AAGCAUGUCAGACCGCCGUUUCCCUCUCAAGCCAUAGGGAGUGAUGGUGUCAAAUAAACAUGCUAGAGUAACAAUUUGGAGUUAACAGGGCCAUCGAUCUUCCAGAGUUGAUCAAUUGGUAGUAUCAGACUCCAACAGAG